rnacentral:rRNA from 1 species
UACGUAGGGUGCGAGCGUUAAUCGGAAUUACUGGGCGUAAAGCGUGCGCAGGCGGUUUUGUAAGCCAGAUGUGAAAGCCCCUGGCUCAACCUGGGAAUGGCAUUUGGGACUGCAAGGCUGGAGUUUGGCAGAGGAGACUGGAAUUCCUGGUGUAGCAGUGAAAUGCGUAGAUAUCAGGAGGAAUACCGAUGGCGAAGGCAGGUCUCUGGGCUAUAACUGACGCUCAUGCACGAAAGCGUGGGGAGCAAACAGG